rnacentral:rRNA from 1 species
GACUCUCGGCAACGGAUAUCUCGGCUCUCGCAUCGAUGAAGAACGUAGCGAAAUGCGAUACUUGGUGUGAAUUGCAGAAUCCCGUGAACCAUCGAGUCUUUGAACGCAAGUUGCGCCCGAAGCCACUAGGCCGAGGGCACGUCUGCCUGGGUGUCACGCAACGUCGCCAAUGCCCAAAU